CCCAUCUACAAUACCCUUUCUAAUAUACUACAUUUUCUGCAUGUCAACAAUAACCUUCAACUAUUAUUCAAACUAGCGAGUUGGCAACAAAAUCUUGAUAUUUACCCAUGGGAAGUACCCUAGUAUACAGGGUGUCUAAAAAAACGCUACGGAAAUUCAACAGGCUGUCGUGCAUCAUAAACGUGGCUAAACAAUUCAAUUUUUACAUAGGGCGAAAGAACAGUUAUUUAGCUUUUCAAUGAUACUCUUUUUAAAUCAUAACGAGGAGAAACGGCCACGUACUCACCAAACAAAAAUUGUCGGUCGAAAUCACAUUCUUCCACCGUUGGGAGUUGCAAGGAAAACGAACAAUAAAUAAUUCCCAAGAGGGAAUUAAAGUUGAAUGUUAAAUUAUCUAAAAUAAGCUCAACCGUCCGUCCUUGUCUCAGUGAGACCAUAAGAACGUCCAUGAUUGCAUUAAACAUGGGUUCAAUUAACCAUUGAACAGAGAACAUUCGUAAUCAAAACGUUUU